AAGUCGACCGCCUGGGGAGUACGGCCGCAAGGUUAAAACUCAAAUGAAUUGACGGGGGCCCGCACAAGCGGUGGAGCAUGUGGUUUAAUUCGAUGCAACGCGAAGAACCUUACCUGGUCUUGACAUCCACGGAAGUUUUCAGAGAUGAGAAUGUGCCUUCGGGAACCGUGAGACAGGUGCUGCAUGGCUGUCGUCAGCUCGUGUUGUGAAAUGUUGGGUUAAGUCCCGCAACGAGCGCAACCCUUAUCCUUUGUUGCCAGCGGUCCGGCCGGGAACUCAAAGGAGACUGCCAGUGAUAAACUGGAGGAAGGUGGGGAUGACGUCAAGUCAUCAUGGCCCUUACGACCAGGGCUACACACGUGCUACAAUGGCGCAUACAAAGAGAAGCGACCUCGCGAGAGCAAGCGGACCUCAUAAAGUGCGUCGUAGUCCGGAUUGGAGUCUGCAACUCGACUCCAUGAAGUCGGAAUCGCUAGUAAUCGUGGAUCAGAAUGCCACGGUGAAUACGUUCCCGGGCCUUGUACACACCGCCCGUCACACCAUGGGAGUGGGUUGCAAAAGAAGUAGGUAGCUUAACCUUCGGGAGGGCGCUUACCACUUUGUGAUUCAUGACUGGGGUGAAGUCGUAACAAGGUAACCGUAGGGGAACCUGCGGUUGGAUCACCUCCUUACCUUAAAGAAGC
rnacentral:rRNA from 2 species